rnacentral:misc_RNA from 1 species
GCCUUCAAAUCACAUAGUUAUACCUUCAAAAAAAUUCAAUAAUUGAAGAGAGACAAGUAGGAAGAGAGGUCAAAGAGGAAAAGGGGCAUUCAAUACAUUCAAUUUUUUCCAGACUCGUAAGGUUAGAAACAUUGAAUUGACGUUCAAGUCCUAGAAGCACUAAUUCCACAUUGAACUUCAUUAUCGCUCACCAUUAAUUCAAACCCCCGGACCUUACUAUUCCAAUCCAAUAAAAAAAAUCCCAAUUUAAAAAACUCUUCACAUAUAAAUAUCAAGUUGACUCGCUAAAACCAUUCGACAGUCUGUUACUGUAACAACUUCCCAUUUACAUACAAUUAUUACUUUGAAACCUGAUUAAGAAUUCCUCUAUUAAUUAGAUUAUUAACUAAGUGAUCAAAUCAAAAUGCAAACAAAGAAAAAGAAGAAGAAAUGAACUAAGAAUCGUAAUUAAGAAGUGCUCACCGCGAUUAGAGAAGAAAACAAA